rnacentral:pre_miRNA from 1 species
CAUGCACGGGUGGGGUCCCUCAGCCUGGCCUGCGCCCUCUCACAAUCUGGGAGCCCUCGGGAUAUUGGAGAGCUGGUUUCAGCCUGAUACCCGCAGGCCAGGCCGAGGGACCCCACCGGUGCACA